UACGUAGGGGGCAAGCGUUAUCCGGAAUUACUGGGUGUAAAGGGAGCGUAGACGGUAAUGUAAGUCUGGAGUGAAAGGCGGGGGCCCAACCCCCGGACUGCUCUGGAAACUAUGUUACUAGAGUGCAGGAGAGGUAAGCGGAAUUCCUAGUGUAGCGGUGAAAUGCGUAGAUAUUAGGAGGAACACCAGUGGCGAAGGCGGCUUACUGGACUGUAACUGACGUUGAGGCUCGAAGGCGUGGGGAGCAAACAGG
rnacentral:rRNA from 1 species